rnacentral:rRNA from 1 species
GAUCCUGGCUCAGGAUGAACGCUAGCUACAGGCUUAACACAUGCAAGUCGGCGGGGCAGCAUGAAGUCAGCUUGCUGACUUUGAUGGCGACCGGCGCACGGGUGAGUAACGCGUAUCCAACCUGCCUGUUACCACGGCACAGCCCGUCGAAAGGCGGAUUAAUGCCGUAUGUGGUCCUUUGCGGGCAUCUAAUUAGGACUAAAGGUUCGGCGGUAACGGAUGGGGAUGCGUCCGAUUAG